GCAUAUCAAUAAGCGGAGGAAAAGAAACCAACAGGGAUUGCCCCAGUAACGGCGAGUGAAGCGGCAACAGCUCAAAUUUGAAAUCUGGCCCCCAGGGUCCGAGUUGUAAUUUGUAGAGGAUGCUUUUGGCGCGGCGCCUUCCGAGUUCCCUGGAACGGGACGCCAUAGAGGGUGAGAGCCCCGUCUGGUUGGAUGCCUAGCCUCUGUAAAGCUCCUUCGACGAGUCGAGUAGUUUGGGAAUGCUGCUCUAAAUGGGAGGUAUAUGUCUUCUAAAGCUAAAUACCGGCCAGAGACCGAUAGCGCACAAGUAGAGUGAUCGAAAGAUGAAAAGCACUUUGAAAAGAGGGUUAAAUAGUACGUGAAAUUGUUGAAAGGGAAGCGCUUGUGACCAGACUUGGGCCCGGUUAAUCAUCCAGCGUUCUCGCUGGUGCACUUUGCCGGCCCAGGCCAGCAUCAGUUCGCCCUGGGGGAUAAAGGCUCCGGGAACGUGGCUCCCUCGGGAGUGUUAUAGCCCGUUGCGUAAUACCCUGCGGCGGACUGAGGUUCGCGCUCCGCAAGGAUGCUGGCGUAAUGGUCAUCAGCGACCCGUCUUGAAACACGGACCAAGGAGUCGUCUUCGUAUGCGAGUGUUCGGGUGUCAAACCCCUACGCGUAAUGAAAGUGAACGCAGGUGAGAGCUUCGGCGCAUCAUCGACCGAUCCUGAUGUUCUCGGAUGGAUUUGAGUAAGAGCAUACGGGGCCGGACCCGAAAGAAGGUGAACUAUGCCUGUAUAGGGUGAAGCCAGAGGAAACUCUGGUGGAGGCUCGCAGCGGUUCUGACGUGCAAAUCGAUCGUCAAAUAUGGGCAUGGGGGGCGAAAGACUAAUCGAACCUUUCUAGUAGCUGGUUUCCGCCGA
rnacentral:rRNA from 1 species